GGUGCUUCAUCCCUAUAAGGAACUUGGCCCUUCACUGUACUCCAACAGGUCCAUGUCAGAACUGCUGUGUUGGGGACCCCAGAGCUGUACACAACACUGCAGGUGGGCUCUCACCAGAGCAGAGGGGCAGAAUCCUCUUCCUCGUUCUGCUGCCCACACUGCUUUUGAUGCAGCCCAGGAUACAAACUAUCUCUCUGGGCUCCAAGACCUGGCUCAUGUCCAUCCUCUCAUCCAGCAGCACCCCCAAGUCCUUCCCAGCAGGGCUGCUCCCAUUCUGUCCAUCCAGCCUGUGUUGAUAUCAGGGUUGCCCUGACCCAGGUUGAGCACCUUGUACUCGACCUUGUUAAACCUCAUGAGGUUCCCAUGGCCGCACUUCUUGAGCUUAUCCAGAUCCCUCUGGGUAGCAACCCAUCCUUCAGGUGUGUCAACCACACCACUCAGCUUGCUGAGGAUGCACUUGAUUCCUUAAUCUACAUAGUUAAUAAAGAUAUUAAAUAACACUGGUCCCAAUACAGACUCCCAAGGGACAUCACUUGCCAAGUGCUGUACUCUGUAGCCACUUCAGUGUGGCUUGGCUGUGACAUUCCUUGGAUACCACUCGGAUCAGGCAGAGAGGAAUUCACACAAGAACCUAAAAGUUUUCUGACUAAAUCCCGUGAUGUGCCAAGGCAUUCAUAGUCACCACAUCAAGCUUGCUGAUUCCUUGUACUCUUGUGGAGAAAUGGCACCAUUCACAGGGAUCUCUAGCCAGAGAAAGAGGGCAAGCAGCAGCAAUGCUACUACAAAGUCUGGUUUGGUCCUCAGGUAUUUCACCAUAUUCAGGCUGGACAGUUGUUGUCAUUUUAUUACAAAAAUCUCCAUACCUUCUUGGUGACUUCUCAUGGGCAGCUCCUCACAGUCCUGACUCCUUCUUCCUUCCCGACCAGCCCACCUACUCUUUUACAAUACUCAUCCUAAUUGGAUCUAGCUGUGGUCUAUUAAGGGCAGGCCUGUUCCUAAUUCAGCUGUAAUUAACACAGCUGUAACCCCUUAGGGGUGAGAUUACCUUCAUCACUAUCUUUAUUCUUCUACAUUCCAUCCAUCCACAGACAGCAGCCCUGUUAGUGGCCCUUUCCUGCAGUUGCUCCAACAUAUACAACAAGUACUAGGAACAAGGAUCUCCGGCACAUCCAGGAAUCCUUGGAGGGGCUCAGAUGGGAGUAUGAAAGCACAGCCACAUUAGAGGAGGAUACAAACCCACUAUUAAUAGCACUAGAAAAAGAGCCUCAGAUUUCUCACCAGCAUUUUAAUAGGACUGUUUCUGCUUCAAAACUACCUUGACUGGAUGUCAAGGACACAUUAUAAAGGCAGGUCAAUCCAGGUGUGAAGCAAUGUAGCAUAGAGAUAGCAGCUGAGAGUGCCAGAAGCAAAAAACUAAGAACACACCCCAGAACCUUAAGCCCAGCAAGCUCACAGUGGAAUUACUAAAUGAAUUGCUUCCUGCAACCUCAGAUGCUAAUUAUUUGUGUGUUUUAAUUUUUGUACUUAAUGUUCUUCUGUCCAAAUUAAAGUAAAUCUAAUUUAAUGCCCCCACACAGACUAUAAGCAUCUUUUUCCUUCAGAGCUUUUGCUUCUAGCCAGCACCUAGAUACCACAGGAGGAAUAGUGUCAUUUUAAUUCCUAUUGUGGCUUUUGUCUUCAUCUUGUGAAGGCAUUAAAUUGUGUAACAUGGAAAGAAUGGGCUUUCAGUCAUGUCUGUCAACUAGAUAUAGUUAUCCACCCUUCAACAAAAGCUAUUGGGAGGGUAACAGAGGCUAAAGAGAUGCACCACAACAUGUUAAGAGAAUCCUACAGAUGCUUCUCAGGUUCGUUUCCUGACUCUACAACAAGGGAGAGCCAGCCAUAGAGCUCAAGGGUGCAUUUUUAACUUACUCUCAUAAAUUCCUAUCUAUUUACAAACUCUUCUUGGAUAGCAGUCUCAGAGUCUUGCUUAUGUUCCUUCCAUCCUGGAUAUUGCUCCUCUGACAUUGUUCAUUCCUCAAGUUUCCAGAAAGUCCUUGUGGCUACGACAAAAAUAUUUAAAAGUCAAGAUUGCUUUGUAGGGUCUGCAAAGCCAAAAGUUCUUAUUUAGCAUCUUAACAUCAAAAUAGGUGGUGAAUUUACAGAACUAUAAACCCAACAUCUGUUUUGCCACAGAUUCCUAUGACUUCACAGAAGCUCUUUGCUUCCACCUUGAUCACCUUUGCCACUAAUGGUAGGAGAGGAGGACAUUUGUCUCAGCAGAUAAAUGGCUUCACAGAUACAGAGGAAUCUGUGAGGAUUUCGGCACUGAAAAGACAAACAAGAAGUGCAUUCAUAAUCACAACCGCAUUCACCUCUGCGACGCGCUGGCCACGGCUAAUUUCAGCCACUGCUUGGCAGAGAAAGCAAAUGCAGCAACCAAAGGAAACCAUGGGAAGAAGACCUUGGACACAGCUCCCUUGAGUAAGACCAUAGAGCAGUCUCAAAUAUCAUCAACCACAUAACCUGGGCAGGAUGAAGACUGAAGAGCAAACUGCAGGGAACAGCCCUCAGCCAGAAAGGGCUGCGAGGGCAACCUGACACAGCCUGCGCAGCUCACCAUCACAUUCACUGGCUUCAGGAACUCUCAUUCCCUGGGAACACAACUG